UUAUAAAUAAAAUUAGUUAAUAAAAGAUUAAAUGAAAACAUUAAAUUAAAAAAAUUUGGCGGUAUUUUAAAUUAUUAGAGGAAUUUGUUAAUUAAAUGAUAGUCCACGAAUGGAAUGUCCUAAAAAAGUUUUUAUAUAUUGUUGUAAUAAAAUUAUUUUAAGAGAAAGUUAAUUAAAGUAUUUAAUUUAAUUAGAAUUCAAAUCAAAAUGUAGAAUUAUUAGGGUUAAAUGAGUUACAGUUUAAUAUAAUAUUGGAAUUAUUUUUUUAAUUAAAAUAAUGAAAAAGGAUUUAAGAGUAAAUUUGAAAAAAUUUUUAGAUUGAAGAGUUACUUAAAAUAUG
rnacentral:rRNA from 1 species